UACAGAGGGUGCAAGCGUUGUUCGGAUUCAUUGGGCGUAAAGGGUGCGUAGGUGGCGGGGUAAGUCAGGUGUGAAAUCUCGGGGCUCAACCCCGAAACUGCAUUUGAUACUGCCUUGCUCGAGUACUGGAGAGGAGAUUGGAAUUUACGGUGUAGCAGUGAAAUGCGUAGAUAUCGUAAGGAAGACCAGUGGCGAAGGCGAAUCUCUGGACAGUUACUGACACUGAGGCACGAAAGCCAGGGGAGCGAACGGG
rnacentral:rRNA from 1 species